UGAUAGCUAUAAUUAAUUGAUCGCACUUACACAAGUGGGUACAAUUGUGAAUCCCAAUAACAGCGAAGAGUUCAUGGCUGAUCUUGGUGGACAGAGAAGAGAAGGAAGAAGAGCAAGGGCAGGUGUGUGAUGUAAAUACUCAGUCACGUGGGGGGGACAGUACAGCGUGAGAGGAGGCUGAGUGGAUGAUCUUGGAGAGCGCCGUGUUGCAGCAGCCGUACGUGGGCUCUUGGAGUGAGAUAACGCACAGUGGGGCAUAGCCUUGAGAGUUGAUUUUGCCGAUGAUGAAGCUGUCACCGUUAGAGAGCAACUUACAGCAGGCAACUGUGAGCCAGGAGACAGGGCAGAUGGAGGAUGUGGCAGACUCAUUAGGACCAUGGCAGAUGGAGGCUGGGAGGAACUGGUUUGAGGGGGGAACUCAUUCAUGUACUGGAUGUCCAAGCUGUUCACAGGUGGCCUGGGGGAAACAACCUGUGAGGCAGGAGGACAGCCAUCUCGGUCAGGAAGGACAGGGGAAGGUGGAGUGUUGCCUGUACUUGCAGCUGGGGGUAGUGUCUACAUCCAGGUUUUCUACUCUUCACAAGGGCCAAAGGUUCUCAGGUGGAGGGGGUAGAGCAGACUUGGUUCUUGGGUUUCACCCCAAGGCUGAGCCAAACCUCCCCCAGAGUCGAAAAUCCAGAAGGGUAGAUUGGUUCAUCUCCCGACCACGGGAUGGUGUCAUGGACUGAGGAUGAAGGGUCAGGGGAGCAGGGCUGGCUGGCACAACCUGGCUUUCCUAGAAGGGAGAGAUGCUUAGCCUGGGCUGUGGCUACAGUUGAAAACUCCAGGAUUAACCUGUCCUUCUCCCUGAGUUCAGCCUGCAAGCGAGCAACGUCUUCCUUCACUUGUGAAAAGGAUGUGGAUUUAAGAGGAGCGGGACACACGAGGAGGAAAGCGCUCCCAACCCUGGACGCCAGAGAGAGACCUCCACGAGACGCAAACUGCUCCAGACAGCCUUUUUGGUGGGGAAGGUGGGAGAUACGACUGGGGGGACACUGACAUUGUGGCUCAGCCAGCACCCGGGAAGAAGACACUAGCCUGGGCUUUUGUGUAGGAGGGGAUGCUUUGGAGGAACGAAGAGGGGUAGGGAUGCGUCCCGCCCUCUAUAGUAGGCCAGUACGGCUAAAUACACGCUGAUAAGCAGAGCAUGUAAAUAUCCAGGAAGGAAUUUGAGGCAAUAAGCGAAGGUGUACUUCCCUAACUGCAAUCAAAUUAUUCAUUACUUAGGACUGUUGCACUCCCCCACCGCCUUGCAGACUGCGCUUGAGGCUCCCUUCAGAAAUCCACAAGCUGCAUGGGAUUUAUGGACAUUUGGGCGGACUGAGUCAACACAGAGUGAACUGUUAUCUGCUGUAUCCAGAGUUUUAUUGUUUUAUUGUUCUGUUGUUUAACUUAAUAAAUUGUAUGGUUGA